GUACAGCUCGGGUUCCGAGGCGGAGGCAGAGGGUGAGGAAGCGCAGGCGCUGGCGCUGCAGCUCGCGGACAAAUCGAGGGAACUGCCCGUGGCGCGGACGGCGGGCGGUCGGGCGGGCGGUCGGGCAACGAGAGCUAGAGCUUACAGAGGAGCAGGGAUCUAGAAGAGAAAAGCAUUACCAGAGGUAGAAGACUGGCCAUGGACUCGAGUCAUCGUGAUCAGGAUGAGCAGCAGCAGUGCCAAGAUCCAUGUCGGCAUUCUACUUGCCAAGCAACUGAAGCUGAUCACCAUGAUAGACACAAGCAACGCAGUUUAGUACUACAGGAUCUGGAUUGACUUGGCCUCGGCACUUGAUUAACAAUGUGGGGAAACAGAGCGGUCUGUUCAUCAGUAGGUAACCAUCUCGUGAGAGCAAUCAUCUAAGAAAGGAAAGUGCA